UGCAAGUCGUACGAAGGCUUUUAGCCUUAGUGGCGGACGGGUGAGUAACACGUGAGAAUCUGCCCUUAGGAGGAGGAUAACAGCUGGAAACGGUUGCUAAUACUCCAUAUGCCGAGAGGUGAAAGGAUUUAUCUACCUAAGGAGGAGCUCGCGUCUGAUUAGCUAGUUGGUAAGGUAAUGGCUUACCAAGGCGACGAUCAGUAGCUGGUUUGAGAGGAUGAUCAGCCACACUGGGACUGAGACACGGCCCAGACUCCUACGGGAGGCAGCAGUAGGGAAUUUUCCGCAAUGGGCGAAAGCCUGACGGAGCAAUACCGCGUGAGGGAUGACGGCCUGUGGGUUGUAAACCUCUUUUCUCAAGGAAGAAGUUCUGACGGUACUUGAGGAAUAAGCAUCGGCUAACUCUGUGCCAGCAGCCGCGGUAAUACAGAGGAUGCAAGCGUUAUCCGGAAUCACUGGGCAUAAAGCGUCUGUAGGUGGUUUGGUAAGUCUGCUGUUAAAGACUGGGGCUCAACCCCAGAAAAGCAGUGGAAACUGCUAGACUUGAGUGUGGUAGAGGUAGAGGGAAUUCCUAGUGUAGCGGUGAAAUGCGUAGAUAUUAGGAAGAACACCAAUGGCGAAGGCACUCUACUGGACCAUAACUGACACUGAGAGACGACAGCUAGGGGAGCAAAUGGGAUUAGAUACCCCAGUAGUCCUA
rnacentral:rRNA from 1 species